rnacentral:tmRNA from 2 species
GGGGACGUUACGGAUUCGACAGGGAUGGUCUGAGCUUGAGUUGCGCGUCGGAGGUCUCGGCUUCGUCAACAACGGAAGUUAUAUAAUAACUGGCAAAACAAACAAUAACUUAGCUUUCGCAGCGUAAGCUCGAAACUGCCUAACUGCUCUAUCGCCCAUGUAGCGUAGCUAGGCUCAACUUUAGUGGGAUACGGUUGCUAGUGCCACUUGAGCUAGUAGCAAGAGAUUUCCAAGUUAGCACACAGGACGCCUGUUUGUCGGCAUAAUGCUGUGCGAAUCCUAAAUAGACAAACUACACGCGUAGUAACUGAAGUAUCAGAGUUUCUGGACGCGGGUUCGAUUCCCGCCGUCUCCAUAG